GAACCAGCCCGCGGUCGCGAGUUGUGACAAUGUGCCCGCCGGCUGCAGCUCUCAUUCCAGUCAUCACCGAGCGUCUGUUACGUCGCGAUCCCGAUAGCGGCGAGCGCGAAAUCGGCUCUUGACCGUCUCUAUCGUGUAUCCGUCUUGUCACGUGCUGAUACACAACCGCGUUCUCCCUCUCAAUGGCGAUUCCGAAAUUCACGGGAGUGCAUCGCGCACGCAUUUCGAGAACGCUGCAUUGCGCAAACGACAGUGGGGACUGAAUAAAUUAUUUAAAUCUGUGUCGUGACUCUAUAGAUUCGUGACAGAUAUCCUUGAUUCAUGGUCGGCUGAAAACUCGUCGACGACACUCGAUGGAUACGCGAAUCCAUCGUCUCCCGAGGCAUUUUUUCAUGAGAUAUCUAUACUUCGACUGGAUGUAGAAACGCAGUCUGACGACACGUGGUAUUGAGAUUUGGAAAUUGGUGAUUGGCGUGAAUCUUUGAUAGUAUCUGCAGAGUAAUUACAUCUUCAGGACCAAAUACGUAUAAGUUAAUUUGUAAUUGGGAAUUAAGAUUUGAUGUAUAUUAGAAUCUACGAGGUAGUAGGAGAACCAGUGACUGAUUUUUCAAACAAGGUGUGUUCCUUCCUUGAGCCUUCUAGUUCUGCGAACUUGUUGAUUCAAGUUGUUUAGGUGUAUUAAGAACACAUAUAUGUAUAUAUUAGGAGGGCCCAAAAGUAAUGUCGCUUUUGCGAAUGUCAAUACUUAUAAUUGGAUAUUAAGAUUUAAUGUAUAUUAGUAUCUACGAGGUGGUAGGAGAACCAGUGACUGAUUUUUCAAACAAUGUGUGUUCCUUCCUUGAGCCUUCUAGUUCUGCGAACUUGUUGAUUCAAGUUGUUUAGGUAAUUUCUUUAUAUGUACAGUGUCCAAAAUUUCCAUAAAGCCACCACGUUUUUUGGUAACAUCUUAUAAUUAUUCUGUACUUAUGAUUAAUUUGAGUAUGAUUUCAUUUUAGGUGUAUUAAGAACACAUAUAUGUAUAUAUUAGGAGGGCCCAAAAGUAAUGUCGCUUUUGCGAAUGUCAAUACUUGUGUAUCAUUUAUCUUCUCAUUAUAUACCAGUGAUUUUAAUGGAUCAGGUAUUGGAACUUUGCAUACCAGAUAGCAAAAGGUUGUUGAUAACGAGAACGAUUACAUGACUGAUCGAAAAUAAAAACUUGUUAUACGUGUAUUUGUUUGAAUUUAAUGUAAAAGGAACGACAUUAUUUUCUGGUCCCCCUAAUAGAUUGAUAUAAUAGAAAUAAUAUUUAUUUGAAGAAAUAAACGUAAUUAUAUGAUCAUAUAUCAAAUAAACUGCAAAAUUUCUAUAAAGCCAUAUAUUUUUUAAAUAACUAGGUUCGAAAUUAACAGCAAGAUCUUUUUUAUUUCUUCGUUAAUAAUGUACACGUCUUGCAGUUACUGACCAAUUUAAUUCAAUGCGAAGUUGUGCUGCACUUCUCAAUUCUUUUGAUGCAGAUCACAUUAAUAAUGAAUGCUGUCUCUUUGUCAGCUUUUGAUUUUUAUGCAUAUACUUACUUUUUUAUUGGAGUUUCACUUCCUUUAUUGUACCUAGUUGGACUUACUAACUCAGAAUCUAAGCAUAGACUAAGUGGCCUUAUAGAAAUUUUGCACUUAUAUUUUGCUUCGUACAGCAAAAAAUGUAUACACACCCAAAAGGUAAACAUUUCCGAGCAGAUACUCUUAGAUUUGUGAUUAGUAUCAAUUAAAUGUAAUUGUAGGUGAGAAAAAAGUAGUAAAGUUAAUAAUAUUUUUAAAAAAUUGGUCAAAAUAUUGGUGACUUUAUGGAAAUUUUGGACACUGUAAGCUUCGCAAGAGAUUGAAACUGGUUUAGCCUGUGGGUAAAGUACGUAGAGAAAGCUUGAUUUUAAAAUUAGCAUCGAGAACGUCAGUAACGUUGCAAGGCAAAUAAUAACCAAGGACGCGAUUGUUAUUUACUGGUCAAGCUGAACAUGCCAGAUGUUUCUUUAGGUAAUUUGCAACGUUUAGCAAGCUUCUCCUUUUUUAAGUUGAAUUAUGCCACACUCAAAGAUCUUUAGUUUUUGUUGUGAAUCAUUAUACAGGUUAAUUCAAGAAACUCUGUUGAUUUUAGCGACCAACUUUGAUCGAUUAUGCUACCUAACGGUGUACCUACCAGCUGUGCUAAAUAUUUCAACGAAACUUGCUACAAUCUUGUUGCGAGUAGCCCUACAAAAUUCAAUAUAUGCAAAUUUAAGAAUAAUAUGCAAAUAAUAAGAAUAAUAAAAUAAGUUUUCAUAAUAGAAUGAUAGAAAAUAAAGUAUAUUAAUUGCAUAGAAAUAAUAUACAUUUUGUUUAUAAAUAGCGUGAAGUGCAAAACAGUUUCAUAUUAAAUUUAUUAAUAAUUCGAGACAAUAGAAUUUCAGAGAAAGAAAAUUUAUCUAAUAAUAAUUUAUAAAUUUUAUAUAUUUUGCAGUUAGACUUUGAAGUUGAAUUGCAGUGUUUCUCAAACUUUGAUUAGUCUUGAAAUAGAGAUGAUAAACAUAUGUUUACGGUUUAAUACUUUUUAUACAAUCAUAACAUAACAUCGUUUCAGUUAUUUAACUAUGAUUAUUAUUAUUAGGAAUUGAUCUAAUACUUUAGGUAGUUUAUUAGUUGACUUUUUAUCAUAGCAGUCAAUAGUUUAUUUAUUACUGAGAUAGCAUUGUAUGAUCUAAUCGUUAUAUGAAUGAUGAAAUAUUAUAUAAAUAUAAUCUGAUUAAAAGUGUACUAUAAGUAUGAAAUAAUUUCUAGUUAAUUUAUAUAAAUACUCAUCAGCUUUAGAUAUAAGCUAGAGUAUUGCUUAAAAGUAUGACAAAAUGCAUUGAAAAGUAUGAAAUAAUUUUUAUUAAAACUGCAUUAUUACUCACCAGCUCUUGAUGAAUAUGAUUAAAUUAUUAAAUAUAAUGCAACACUUUCGUAGGCGGCGCAAAAUUUAAAAUUACCUACUUUCAAAAUUACCAAACAAGGUUUAACUUUCUAACCGAGAAACAAAAAGUAUGACCUUUAAUUAGUGCUAUUAUUAUAUCCGCUUUAGGAUUAUUAUAUUUGCAUUAAGAGUAUUUCAUAUCGCUGUAUUCAACUAAAUAUCACAAAGAUACUCAGACAGUAUUUCCAUGGAGACAUAUCACACGUAGACGUAUCAAACAUACUCGGACAGUAUUUUCAUGGAGAAAACUGU